UACGUAGGGAGCAAGCGUUGUCCGGAAUCAUUGGGCGUAAAGCGCGCGUAGGUGGCCCUGUAAGUCCGUUGUGAAAGUCAAAGGCUCAACCUUUGAAAGCCGAUGGAUACUGCAGGGCUGGAGUCCGGGAAGAGGCGAGUGGAAUUCCUGGUGUAGCGGUGGAAUGCGCAGGAUAUCAGGAGGAACACAAUAGCGAAGGCAGCUCCGCUGGGACGGUACUGACACUGGAGGCGCGAAAGCGUGGGAGCGAACAGG
rnacentral:rRNA from 1 species